rnacentral:rRNA from 1 species
UACGAAGGGGGCUAGCGUUGCUCGGAAUCACUGGGCGUAAAGGGUGCGUAGGCGGGUUUUUAAGUCAGAGGUGAAAUCCUGGAGCUCAACUCCAGAACUGCCUUUGAUACUGAAAGUCUUGAGUACGGGAGAGGUGAGUGGAACUGCGAGUGUAGAGGUGAAAUUCGUAGAUAUUCGCAAGAACACCAGUGGCGAAGGCGGCUCACUGGCCCGUAACUGACGCUGAGGAGCGAAAGCAUGGGUAGCAAACAGG